GAUGAACGCUGGCGGCGUGCUUAACACAUGCAAGUCGAACGGAAAGGCCCAAGCUUGCUUGGGUACUCGAGUGGCGAACGGGUGAGUAACACGUGGGUGAUCUGCCCUGCACUUCGGGAUAAGCCUGGGAAACUGGGUCUAAUACCGGAUAGGACGAUGGUUUGGAUACCAUUGUGGAAAGUUUUUUCGGUGUGGGAUGAGCUCGCGGCCUAUCAGCUUGUUGGUGGGGUAAUGGCCUACCAAGGCGUCGACGGGUAGCCGGCCUGAGAGGGUGUACGGCCACAUUGGGACUGAGAUACGGCCCAGACUCCUACGGGAGGCAGCAGUGGGGAAUAUUGCACAAUGGGCGCAAGCCUGAUGCAGCGACGCCGCGUGGGGGAUGACGGCCUUCGGGUUGUAAACUCCUUUCGCUAGGGACGAAGCGUUUUUGUGACGGUACCUGGAGAAGAAGCACCGGCUAACUACGUG
rnacentral:rRNA from 1 species